rnacentral:rRNA from 1 species
GACGAACGCUGGCGGCGUGCUUAACACAUGCAAGUCGAACGGAAAGGCCCUGCUUUUGUGGGGUGCUCGAGUGGCGAACGGGUGAGUAACACGUGAGUAACCUGCCCUUGACUUUGGGAUAACUUCAGGAAACUGGGGCUAAUACCGGAUAGGAUCUCCUGCUGCAUGGUGGGGGUUGGAAAGUUUCGGCGGUAGGGGAUCGACUCGCGGCUUAUCAGCUUGUUGGUGGGGUAGUGGCUUACGAAGGCUUUGACGGGUAGCCGGCCUGAGAGGGUGACCGGCGACAAUGGUACUAAGAGACGGCGCAGUCGCCUACGGUAGGCAGCAGUGGAGAAUAUUGCAGAAUGGGGGGGAGCGUGAGGCAGCAACGCCGCGUGCGGAAUGACGGGCUACGAGGUGAAAACCGCUGUCGCAGGAAACGAAGCGGGAGUGACGGUAAUGGGUAAAGAAGCACCGGCUAACUACGUG